AGGGGUAGUUUUAUUUAUUUUAGUAUGAUUAUGUUUUAUAGAAAUAACUUUACUUUUAGUAGGUUUUAUUGAAAAAAUUGUGUUUAUUAUAGUGAAAAGUACUGUGAGGGGUGCCAGUUUUAACUAGUUAAAAGGAGUUUUAUUUUAUUGUACCUUUUGUAUCAGGGGUAAUUAAUAUAUUGUUAUAUAUUUAAUUUUCCCGAAAUGGGAGGAGAUAUUAUGUGUGUAAGUUUAUGUGUCAAAAUGGUUUUGAAUGCAAUGAUAGUGAUGAAAGGUCAUUCGUUUCCCAAUAUCUGGUUUCUUAAGAUUUAAAUUUAAUUUAGAAUUAUUUAUGCUAAUUCUUGGUUUUAAUUAAGAGUUGGUUUUUGAUUUAAAAUUUUUGGGGAUAAGCUCAAAUUUUGGUUUAUAAUUAAGGAUUGGUUUCUAGUUCAGGUAGGCCUGAAAUCAGCUAUCAUUAAUUUCGUUAUAGAAUAUGCUGGGGCUAUAUUGAUUUUUUUUAAUUUAAUUUUCUAUUAAGAGGAUUGUGGAAUUUAAUAUUUAUUGUGAAAAUGAUUGUAUUAGUAUAUUUUAUAAUUAAAAUACAGUAACUCGGCAAAUAUCAUGUUCGCCUGUUUAACAAAAACAUGUCCUCUUGUGUUUUAUACUAGGUUUAACCUGCCCAAUGAAUUUUCAAUGGCCGCAGUAUAUUAACUGUGCUAAGGUAGCGUAAUCAUUUGUCUUUUAAUUGUGGGCUUGUAUGAAGGGUUGGACGAGACAUGAACUUUCUUUAUUUUAAUUUUUGAAUUUAUCUUUUUAGUCAAAAGACUGAGAUUUAUCUGUGGGACGAGAAGACCCUAUAGAUCUUGAUAAUUUAUAUUUUCAUGUUUUUGGUUAAUUUUAUUUAUGGAUUGGAACAAUUAUUUAAUUGGGGUGAUUGCAGAGAAUGUAUAACUUCUGUUAUUUUUGUUCAUUGAUGGGUGUAUAGAUGAUCCGUUACUAGCGAUUAUAAGAUUAAGUUACCUUAGGGAUAACAGCGUAAUUCUUUCGGAGAGUUCUUAUCGAUGAUGGAGUUUGCGACCUCGAUGUUGGAUUAAAAUGGGUGGUAGGUGUAGCAGCUUGCUUACCAGGUCUGUUCGACCUUUAAUUUUUUACAUGAUCUGAGUUCAGACCGGCGUGAGCCAGGUCAGUUUCUAUCUUCAGUUAUAAUUAUUAUAUCUUAGUACGAAAGGACCAGAUAUAGGGAAUACUUUUAUUUUGUUGACUGAUAUU
rnacentral:rRNA from 1 species